rnacentral:rRNA from 1 species
GUCUCCCGCCCACCAGCCUGAACGCGCCCCAUCGCGGAAGCUCAGCAGGGUCGGGCCUGGUUAGUACUUGGAUGGGAGACCGCCUGGGGAUAGUGGGUGUUGUAGGCU